UACGUAGGUGGCAAGCGUUGUUCGGAAUUACUGGGCGUAAAGGGCGCGUAGGCGGCCUGUUAAGUCGAACGUGAAAUCCCCGGGCUCAACCCGGGAACUGCGUCCGAUACUGGCAGGCUUGAAUCCGGGAGAGGGAUGCGGAAUUCCAGGUGUAGCGGUGAAAUGCGUAGAUAUCUGGAGGAACACCGGUGGCGAAGGCGGCAUCCUGGACCGGUAUUGACGCUGAGGCGCGAAAGCCAGGGGAGCAAACGGG
rnacentral:rRNA from 1 species